GCGGUGGUGGCUCAGUGGUAGAGCACCUGCCUAACGCAUGUGCGAGGCACUGGGUUCAAUUCUCAGCACUGCA
rnacentral:tRNA from 1 species